rnacentral:rRNA from 1 species
GAUGAACGCUGGCGGCGUGCCUAAUACAUGCAAGUCGAGCGAACAGACGAGGAGCUUGCUCCUCUGACGUUAGCGGCGGACGGGUGAGUAACACGUGGAUAACCUACCUAUAAGACUGGGAUAACUUCGGGAAACCGGAGCUAAUACCGGAUAAUAUAUUGAACCGCAUGGUUCAAUAGUGAAAGACGGUUUUGCUGUCACUUAUAGAUGGAUCCGCGCCGCAUUAGCUAGUUGGUAAGGUAACGGCUUACCAAGGCAACGAUGCGUAGCCGACCUGAGAGGGUGACCGGCCACACGGGAAUUGGAACCCGGUCCGGACUCCUACGGGGGGCGGCGGUGGGAAUCUUCCGCAAUGGGCGAAAGCCUGACGGAGCAACGCCGCGUGAGUGAUGAAGGUCUUCGGAUCGUAAAACUCUGUUAUUAGGGAAGAACAAAUGUGUAAGUAACUAUGCACGUCUUGACGGUACCUAAUCAGAAAGCCACGGCUAACUACGUG